AUUGAACGCUGGCGGCAGGCCUAACACAUGCAAGUCGAGCGAGCGGCGGACGGGUGAGUAAUGUAUGGGGACUGCCCGAUAGCGGGGGAUAACUCCUGGAAACGGUAGCUAAUACCGCAUACUAUCGGAUAACCCAUAUGGGAUUAGCUAGUAGGUGCGGUAAUGGCUCACCUAGGCGACGAUCCCUAGCUGGUCUGAGAGGAUGAUCAGCCGCACGGGAACGGAGAAACGGCCCAGAUUCCUACGGAGGCAGGAGUGGGGAAUAUUGCACAGUGGGGGCAAGCCUGAUGCAGCCAUGCCGCGUGUAUGAAGAAGGCCCUAGGGUUGUAAAGUACUUUCAGUCGGGAGGCGUUACCGACAGAAGAAGGACCGGCUAACUCCGUGCGAGCAGCCGCGGUAAUAC
rnacentral:rRNA from 1 species